rnacentral:lncRNA from 1 species
AUGGAUUCGAGCACCAGGUCCAGGACUCUGCCUCAGCCAGUGCUGCUGCUGUGCCUGAGCUUCCUGCACCCCACCCUCCUUGAGUCAACGUGGAAGAAGAUUGUGAGACCAAACGCAGGCAGGACGAGGAAGCAAAGAGGUCUCAGAAAGCAGAAGUGGGCCCUGGAGACUGGACCCUCCGUGAGAAGGCUUGAAAUUAUCUCCCUUCAGGAGUCUGGCAUUGCUGUGGGUGACGUCUGUGCUGCAGACAUGACCCCAGGGGAUGGGAGGCCGUGGCUGCCUGCAGCGCUGCUCCUUCUGCAGGUCCCAGGAAAAGCCAGUCCUGCCAAGGUCUCCUCCAGACCCCAAGGGCCCUUCAUGGACACCAGGAUCACCAUGACCCCAGAUCCCCUUGACCCAGGCCCAUCUGGUGAGGGGUCACACGUGGCUGUUUUCUCCAGGUUGUUGGUCUCUGCGUGGCCCCACCUCCGUGAUGGGCACCGUGGGGGGAUCCCUGAGCGUGCAGUGUCAGUACGAGGAGAAAUUCAAAGAGAAUGUCAAGUACUGGUGCAAGACCCCAUGUAUGGGGGAUAUUAUGAAGACUGAAGAGGCAGACAAAGAAGUGAGGAGUGGCCGUGUGUCCAUCAGGGACCAACCUGCAAACCUCACCUUCACAGUGACCUUGGAGAACCUCACAGAAGGUGAUGGAGGAACAUACCGGUGUGGGAUCGAUACAUCAUGGCUCUCAGAAUAUUUGCUCGACCUCACCUUCCGAGUUGUGCUGUCUGUGACCCCAGGUGAGCUGUGCACACCCCUCCCCCAACACCAGCACUAUGGCUGCCUGAGACUGGGGCUGAUCACCCCGACCCUGUCAGGAAAGUGGUGGGACAUGGGAUAGAAGAGCGGGGUGAGGAUGGGUUGGGUGAUGCAGGGCACGGCAGAUGUGUGUGUAUGUGUCCGUUUGUGUGUGUGGGUGUAUGUGUUGUGUCUGUUUACAAGUCUGUAUGUGUGUCUCUGUACAUGUCCAUGUGUGUGUAAGUGUGUGUGCGGGCAUUGUGUUUUCUGUACACUCACACAAGCACAUGUACACCUCUAGCUGACCUAGGCGCCUCUGUGUGUCCAGCCCUGAUACACUCUCACGACUAAAGCUCUCCAGGCGUGGGCAGUGGGAAUGGCCCACUGGCUGGCUGGCUGGCUGCCUUUCUGUCCUGACAAGGGUCCUGACCAUGCUGAAGGUGUCCUGAGCCUCUUCCUGGACCUCUUUUUGUCCUCCCCUUAGGGCAUUGGCUCCUCUCCCUUACUGGCUGCCCAGGACCCUGGGGCUCUAACAGGACAUCACUGUGUCCUGGAUGGUUCCUGAGCACCAGCCUCACAGCUGUGAUCCUGGGGGUCUGCAGCAGCCUUGUCAGGGGCCCAAUAAUGAAAAUCAGUAAUACUAAUUGUCCCCUGACAACCUGCCCAGGCACACAGCCCAUCUGACAUGGGCCCAGGGACAGAAGGAAAGUGGAGGGUACCAGGGCAUCUCCCUGAGGACGUGGCUCACUGCCUGUCACUGUCCCCCACAGGUCCCUUGCUCAGCAGCAUCUACUUCCAGCUCCUGGUCUUCCUGGAGCUGCUCCUGGUCCUGAGCAUGCUCAGUGCUGUCCUCUGAGGGAAUAGGCCUCAGAGGGAAUCUGGGGUGGGGAGGCGGCAUCAGCCCAAUAGUUCAAACCAGUAACACCAAUUGCCGAUUCACGAUGGACCCAGGAGCACAGCCCAUCUGAUGGAUGGGAACGGCCUUCUGACCAACACAUCCAGCCACUGUCCUUACCUCAUUCCGAAUACCCUGUGAGCUCUUUUGUAAGUUUUCCUGCAAAGUAUCAUGGACACAAAGAAUGUUCUCAAUAAAUGCAUACUCCUUACAGCCCCAAUACUCUUCACCCCUUGGGUGCCCACCUCACAGCGUAAGUAAUAAACAUCAUUACUAUUGUUUCAGGCUGCCCUCUGAGGAAACCGACUAUGAAUUUUACAGUCAGGUUCUCCUUGUUUUCUUCAUGGGUUUGCCACAUAUUUACAAAUUACUUACUCUAGAUCAGUUCAUAAAAGGCACCAAGGAUAAAAAAAAAAAAACCAACUUUUAUUUCCAACAUCCUCCCUCUUCUUAUAAUACUUCUUUCCCAAAUUAUCACUUUUUUUUUUUAAAAUAAUACAAUGGUCACUUAAUGCGUAAGCCUCCUUGUGAAUGGUGCUUAUGUAUUCCAGGUGCUGAUACUGUCCCUGGGCCUCGGACAGGCCUGGGCUGGCCUCAGGGGCCCUGCACUAGGAGCUGCUCGAAGGUGAAAGUGUUGGGCACUUGUGCGCAGUCCUACUCUGAGUUCCCAUCAACAGUGGUGUGUUCUGAGAGUUCCCGUAAGCAUAGUUUCUUUCUUGUGUUUAAACACUGGAAGGAGAAUAUUUUAUUAUACAUGGGAGAAAAAAUUAAGACAACCUACCAGUUUGCUCUGAUCCUGCAAGCAUAAGUGUAGGAAUUAGAAUACAAAGUAAUCUGAUGUCAGAGCCAAGCUUCAGAACCCAAGCAGGAAAGAAUCUUUAUUACCUUAAUCCCAUUUUCCCCACCUCUAGCUGUAUUAAUCAAGGUGCACCAAAACCCUUAAAAAUGUCACUCCCAAAACAGGACGCUAAAACUCAGAACAUAAAGAAACUCAGAAUGAGGGACGCCUGGGUGGCUCAGUUGGUUAAGCAGCUGCUUUCGGCUCAGGUCAUGAUCCCAGCGUCAUGGGAUCAAGUCCCACAUCUGGCUUCUGGCUCAGCGGCUUCUCUCUCUCUCUCUCCCUGCCACUCUGUCUGCCUGUGCUUGUG